rnacentral:misc_RNA from 1 species
AAAUCAUCGAGAUAGUUGCAGCCAAGGAUGUUAUAUUCGCUCUUGCACAAUCUGGCCUCUGUGCUGCUUUCAGUCGGACAUCCAACAAACGGAUAUGCUUCCUGAACAUAAGCCCCGAUGAAGUUAUCAGGAGCCUCUUCUAUAAUAAGAACAACGAUUCACUGAUCACAGUCUCAGUUUACGCAUCAGAUCACUUCAGUUCGCUGAAAUGCAGGACUACUCCAAUAG